UACGGAGGGUGCGAGCGUUGUCCGGAAUCAUUGGGCGUAAAGGGCGCGUAGGUGGCCCGGUCAGUUCGUGGUGAAAGCGCGGGGCUCAACCCUGCGUCGGCCAUGAAUACUGCCGCGGCUGGAGCACUGUAGAGGCAGGCGGAAUUCCGGGUGUAGCGGUGGAAUGCGUAGAGAUCCGGAAGAACACCGGUGGCGAAGGCGGCCUGCUGGGCAGUGCUGACACUGAGGCGCGACAGCGUGGGGAGCGAAGAGG
rnacentral:rRNA from 1 species